UGCGUAGGGUGCAAGCGUUAAUCGGAAUUACUGGGCGUAAAGCGUGCGCAGGCGGCUAUGCAAGACAGAUGUGAAAUCCCCGGGCUCAACCUGGGAACUGCAUUUGUGACUGCAUGGCUAGAGUACGGUAGAGGGGGAUGGAAUUCCGCGUGUAGCAGUGAAAUGCGUAGAUAUGCGGAGGAACACCGAUGGCGAAGGCAAUCCCCUGGACCUGUAUUGACGCUCAUGCACGAAAGCGUGGGGAGCAAACAGG
rnacentral:rRNA from 1 species